rnacentral:lncRNA from 10 species
GGAACACUUGCUAAUGUCUGGACACAGUUUUGGUUGUCACGACUAGGCUGGUGAUGCUGGAGCCACAACAACCACCGGAAACCCCAAGGCGAAGACCAGAGAAUCCCAGAGAUGCAGACAGAGACUUCCUAGAGCUACAGAGUAAGCCAAAUUGGAGUUGCCUUUUCUGGACGUCUUGUUAAGUCUGAUGGGGUUCAUCACAUCUGAGCCAGGACUGGCUUUUCUUGGCUGCAAGCUGAAAGUUGGGUCCAGGUCUGCUGUACUGAGGGUCUCCUAUCUUCCUUGGACAGGGACAACCAGAGGCCUAUUUAUCUCAUGAUGGAAGGCAGGAGAACAAGCAGGCAAGACCAGCUGUGCUAGCACAUGCCACCUCUUUGCCCACGUCACACCUGCUGACGUCCCAUUGGCCAAUGCAAGUCACACAACCAAAGCCAACAUCAACAGGACAAGGAAACAGACUCUGCCUCUAGAUGCACAAACUACAGAGUCACGGACAGAGGACACGGAUCCAGGGAAGGAAGAUGGAGAAUGAGAACAAUGACCCUCAAUAACACAGCCUCCCACAGAUAAGAACCAAACGACAUCCGGCCUUUGCGUUCUCUCCACCAGCUCCCGGCUCACCCACCCAGCAGCUCAGCACCUGCGAAAUCCGUCUCCCGAUGCACACUUGC